ACAUAGAUACAUAGAUACAUAGAUAAUGUGAUCAAGUAGCUAGCAAGGUGGAGAAAUCUUAAAAGAGUUGGUAAAGUGGAAAGAAUAUUUUUGAAAUAUAUUAUAUACAAAUAAUAGAAUACUUUUAAAGAUUUGAUUUAACAAACUGAAGAGAUAAGAUGUCUUAACAGUAAACUGCCCUCAUUGCUAUUGCAGAGGUCUCAAGUUCAGUUCUUAGCAUCCAAAUCAGAAAAUUCACAACUAACUGUGAUUUUAUCCAACCUUAUAUGUACAUAUAAGUAUAUACACUCAUAAAAAAACAAUAACUUUUGUUGUUGUUAUUUAGUGACUUAUAAAAUUACUGCAUGUAGACUUUCCAGAAUUGGAAAUGCCAUGAUUCAGAAAGACCCUGAUGCAGAAAGUCAGUGAGAUAAAUGAACUUCAAUCUCAUACUGCCUAAAGUUUCUUGUGCAGUGGAAACUCCAGUGUUUAAACAGAGGGUUUGCCUUUUCCCAUCUACUAUCUAUGUGUAGAUUUAAAAAAUAGACUUUUAUAGCUCUCAAGACAUAAUUUUAUCUGACUUUGAAGUUGUAUGAUUUUUUUCAUAAUUUCUCUUCAUUCUCAGUGGUAAUCAUCAAGCAGCAAAUAGAAGAACUCAGUUCUGGGAAUGUAUAAAUCCACCACUGUGGACAGGUUUCUUUGGCAAUGGGUCCUUAGCUUUCCAAUACAUUAAAGCUGAACUGAUUUAAAUAGUAAAGAAAAUUCGUAUUUGGUCUUCUUUUUUAUCAUCACAUAAAUAAUACACUGUGAUUAUUGGAAGCUUAAAAACAGUAAAGUAGGGCAGUGGUGUCGCAAGCCUUCAAUCCCAGCACUUGGGAGGCAGAGACAGGCGGAUUUCUGAGUUGGAGGCCAGCUUGAUCUACAGAGUGAGUUCCAGGACAGCCAGGGCUACACAGAGAAACCCUGUCUCAAAAAAAAAAAUAGUAAUUCAAAAGUUGUACUACCCAAUAAUUAUUAUAUCAAAGAAUAAGUCUACCGUCUUUGCUCCCUCCCACAUACCUUAUGUCUAAAAUGAACAUUCUCAGCAUAGCCCAUGUGGUAAUAAACUUUUCCAUAUAUAUGAGAAUAUUUAAUUUUCUUGUCAUGUAAAGCCUAACAACUAAAAGGCCAUUUUAAAUGUGUAUUUUAGCAUAUUGAUUAAAGUAAAUGGGAUAAAAUGCUGGUGACAAAUGUACAUUCCUUAUUUGAUAAAAGUCAUCACAGAAUUAUUUUCCUUAAUGGUCAUCUGUGAGUAAUAUGGCCAACAGAUAGUAAGCCUUUUAGAAGAAUCUUUGAAACUAGAAAUUAUUUUCAAGCCCCACAGCUUCCUUUCUCUCUUCCCUCUCUCCAAGAGAAGGGAAACAAUGUUUCCUAACUUGCUUCCCUUUUUCAAAUUGUGUUGUCCUCUCUACUGGCAUGGUUUAUCAACCAGUUUCUUUUUUUCUAGACCCAUUUUCUUGUAAUUAAGACACCAGCUGCAUACUCUUAGUGAACACUGAUUAUUUUGUGGUACUCUUGUAGCUUUAGCUACAAAAGCAGUGAGUAUUUCUUUACCCAUGUUCAUCUCUAUUCAAACUGUGUGCGCUUUCUCAAGCCUGUCCCAGGGCACUCUCUAUGGGAAGCAGCUCUGUGCUCUCUUUCCAUUGUUCUUAACACAGGAAUGCUUUACUUAUUUGCCCGUGACUUUCUUUUCACAGCCUGGGAUCCUUAUCAACUCGCCUCCAUUGUUGUGGGAGGGAAGCUCUUCUGUUCCUCACAGUGUGAGAACCCCUUGUCUUUACACAGCCUUCACACUCUAUGCUCACAUACAAAACCAGAAAAUGUCAUGAAUACUUUUCAAGGUGACCAACCAUCAAAUGACCUAUUCAGCAUUACUUCUUGAAUAGGAAUUCUGAUUUUUAUCUCGAGUGACCUAUACAGGCUAAAAUGCCAUCGUGACAUUUUUGCCAUUUUAUUGGUCUAAGCUAAUGUUUGUGUAAUGACAUUACUAAUAAUUAACUGUAUGCCAUCUUGCUCUUUGUUUUUUUAAUGCUUGUCACAUUUCAUAGUCUUUGAUCUCUUCUUUCAUUUAGUGUGAUUAAAUGCUUUAAAAUAACAUUUAAUCAUUAAGAUUGUUUUCAUUGAUUUUUUUUCUAAUUUUAGUACUAUCAUCACAUUAUGUUGGAGACUAAAAUUAUCCUAAAUUCCUAAAUUAUCGAAAUUCAGUAGACACACUGCUAUACUAAGUUCCCACUCCACUCUUAGAAAUGGCUUUGUGUUUUCACAGCUGUUUCUUGGUGGAGUGUCAGAUUGCUUGUCAAUACUUGUACACUCAAUUUGGAAAGCUAGGUUAAAAUAAAGUCAAUUUCUUUUACAUUUCACAGUAAUAACUGAAAGCCUGGGAAGUGGUGCUUUAUUUAUGGUAAAUUAUGAGAUCAAGCUUUUACCAAGACUUUACAUUCACGGAGUUUAAAGGUUUGCUACUUUCUUUUAUUUUUAUGUUCUUGUUGUUUUAAAUGUUAUAUAUCGUAUUCUGAAAGGAGAAAAUGCUUUGGCCAUUUAGACAAGGGAGCUAUCAUUCUCUCAGUGCUUCCUCUUCGUUAGGACUGUGGUUGGAGCUCAGAGUUCUCAGACGCUUCCUGUGGCUGUGUGCUCCUCUUGUCAAUGCUGUGCAUCUUUCCUCCAUGUGCUGGUGUGGGUGCCUCCCACUCUCAGCUCAUAUCAUAAUAUCUGUUGCUAUGACCACUGCAUGUGUUGCGCCAACCUGUCCUUCACCGCCUCAACUGCUGCUCAUUCUGAUUUGAACUCCCCAGAUUAGAGACAGGAAACUUUUCCUCUUACAUAAAUUGUCCUGGAGUUAUGGCUGGUGGCUAGUGGAAUAUGCUUAAAGACACAAUAUUCUCAUCUAAUUUCAUUUCCUUAACUACACAGUGACAUCUAAUGUGAUUUUCUCCUGUUCAAGUUGUUCCAGAUUGAAGUGUUUCUUACCUCAAAGUUCCUUCCAUGAAUUUUUUUAAGUCUGUGUAUAAAUCUGUGGGUUUUGUUUGUUUUUGUUUUGUUUUGUGGAUGUUAAUUAUAGAAGUUUGUUGCCAUCAAGGCUGUUUGUUCUUUUUCCCUUAGUUUAAAAUAUCUUUCAUUUGACAUUUUAUAGUUCUUAUGGAAAAAAAAUCCUGGAGUUCCAACUUUCCAGAGUUCUGUGAAAAGUAAAGGUAUAAGAAGUUCUUUGUUACUUUUG
rnacentral:lncRNA from 1 species